GGUGAUAUGGCUUAGUGGUUUGAGUGUUGGGACUAUGAUUCUGGAGACCAGGGUUUGAUUCCCAGCUUGGCCA